UGGGGAAUAUUGCACAAUGGGCGAAAGCCUGAUGCAGCAACGCCGCGUGAGUGAUGAAGGCCUUCGGGUUGUAAAGCUCUGUCUUUUGGGACGAUAAUGACGGUACCAAAGGAGGAAGCCACGGCUAACUACGUGCCAGCAGCCGCGGUAAUACGUAGGUGGCAAGCGUUGUCCGGAUUUACUGGGCGUAAAGGAUGCGUAGGCGGAUUUUUAAGUGAGAUGUGAAAACCCUAAGCUUAACUUGGGGACUGCAUUUCAUACUGGAAAUCUAGAGUGCGGGAGAGGAGAAUGGAAUUCCUAGUGUAGCGGUGAAAUGCGUAGAGAUUAGGAAGAACACCAGUGGCGAAGGCGAUUCUCUGGACCGUAACUGACGCUGAGGCAUGAAAGCGUGGGUAGCAAACAGGAUUAGAUACCCUGGUAGUCCACGCCGUAAACGAUGAGUACUAGGUGUAGGAGGUAUCGACCCCUUCUGUGCCGCAGUUAACACAAUAAGUACUCCGCCUGGGAAGUACGAUCGCAAGAUUAAAACUUAAAUGAAUUGACGGGGUCAUAGCUGUUUUCCU
rnacentral:rRNA from 1 species